UUAACCCCUUCACGUCUAUGUUCAUUGGCCCAUCGACGCCCCCUGGCACGCCCAUUGCUUCGUGGAGAUUCGGGACACUUAAUUGCUAAGACCUUCUCGCUGAUAAAUAAUGAACGGCAAUCAUGGUUAACGUUUGAGCGUCUGUGGACCAGCAGCUAAGAAAAUUCAGGCCAGGAGCUUCCCUGGUGAUGCAGUGGCUAAGAAUCCACCUGCCAAUGCAGGGGACACGGUUUCGAGCCCUGGUCCGGGAAGAUCCCACAUGCCGCGGAAUAACUAAGCCCGUGCGCCACAACUACUGAGCCUGCGUGCCGCACCUACUGAGCCCGUGUGCCACAACUACUGAAGCCCGUGCACCUACAGCCCAUGCUCCACAACAAGAGAAGCCACUGCAAUGAGAAGCCCGUGCACUGCAAUGAAGAGUAGCCCCCUCUCGCUGCAGCUGAAGAAAGCCCACGUGCAGCAACACGGACUAAACGCAGCC